rnacentral:lncRNA from 1 species
CUCCUUUGGGGUUGUACAACCGAUUUGUAAUUGUCCUCCAUUAGGAUUUUGUGCAUACAAAAAGUCAAACUUAUUCCUUUCAAGUCCUCAAUGGACCAAACGAUGGCCCCCUUAUGCUUCCGCAGAAUUCUCAACAACUUUUCUUCUUGUAACUCACUCAAGCUUGCACUAACUAUGGUUGAAUUCUUAUCUUUUUCACCCAGGAAUACAUAUUUCAAAUGAGGAGGUAACUGCUUGAGUUCAAUCAGUGGUGUAUUUUUCUCUGAGGGCUUGUCUUCAUUACCUUUCAACUUCUCCCAUCUAGUAGGAAAAUGGGGGGAGUAGGAUGGUGAUGCUUCUAACAUGGCCAAAACCUCUUUCACCUUUGGAUCUUCACUUUCUUUAACAACGUCUUGAAGUACUUCCACUUUGUUUGGCUUUAGGUGGUACUUGUUCACUUACCUUGCCACUCCUCGUUGUCACGGCAUUGACAUUAUUUCGCGGAUUUGGAACUAUGUCACUAGGCAAAUUUCUAGGCGCUCUUUGUGCCAUUUGUUGAGCAAGUUGACCCAAUUGGGUCUCCAGAUUAUUUAUUGAUGCAGAGUGGUUUUUCUGGAUGGCUCUUGACUCUUCAAUGAAAUAACUUGUGUUUGCUACUAACUUCUCAAUAGCACUCUCCCAAGCAGGUUUUCGAGGUGGAACCUGAUUUGCUUGAGCUCCUUGAUUUGAUGCUCCAUUUCUUCGUUGACUAUCGCAUCUAAGAUCUCGAUUCGAUUGCACCCUUCUCUUUCUUUUGAAUGUUCCAUGGCUUUUAGAAUGUUAAAAGUGACGGUUUCUUCAUUUACUUUUAAGGUUAAGGUGCCAUCUGCUACAUCAAUCGUAGCUCGCCCUGUUGCUAAGAACGGUCUCCCCAAAAUCAAAGGAAUUUAAUUGUCCUCAUCCAUAUCUAGUACCACGAAAUCCACUGGAAAAAUGAACUUACCCACUUUAACCAACACAUCUUCCACCAUUCCAUAGGGAUGUUUCAUUGAGCGAUCCGCAAACUGUAACAUCAGUUCUAUGUCUUUGACUUUUCCAAUGCCCAACUUUUUGUAUAUGGAAAGGGGCAUAAGACUUACACUAACCCCAAGAUCACACAAAACCUUCCCAAAAGUUUUAUUUCCAACAGCGCACGGGAUUGAUAAGCUUCCAGGAUCCUUGAGCUUCGGUGGCAGCUUCCUCUAUAGUAUAGCACUACACUAUUCGGUAAGCAUCACUAUUUCAGCGCCGGUUUUUCUUUUCUGCAAUUUUUUAAAAACAUCAAGAAACUUGCCGAAUUGUUUUUCCAUUUCUUCCUUUUUUAAUCUUUGAGGAAACAGAAGUCGAUUUUCUGGUUUUGGCAGUGUCUCCUUUUUUCUGCGCCACAUGUUCUUCUUCCUUUUCAAGAGCGAUGUGCUCCUCAACUGAUGUCGGGGUGACCAUUUCCUCCGAGUGGGUCGAAGUUGAAGUACUUCCACUUUGUUUGGCUUUAGGUGGUACUUGUUCACUUACCUUGCCACUCCUCGUUGUCACGGCAUUGACAUUAUUUCGCGGAUUUGGAACUAUGUCACUAGGCAAAUUUCUAGGCGCUCUUUGUGCCAUUUGUUGAGCAAGUUGACCCAAUCGGGUCUCCAGAUUAUUUAUUGAUGCAGAGUGGUUUUUCUGGAUUGCUCUUGACUCUUCAAUGAAAGAACUUGUGUUUGCUACUAACUUCUCAACAGCACUCUCCCAAGCAGGUUUAUGAGGUGGAGCCUGAUAUGCUUGAGCUCCUUGAUGACCUUGAGAUCCACCAUGUUGAUCUUUCCACGAAAAAUUUGGGUGAUUUCUCCAUCCAGGGUUGUACAUACUAGAGUAGGGAUUGCUUUGCUUCUCGUUAUUACCCAUAAAAUUCACCUCUUCUAGUUCUUUUAUAUCAUUUUCAUCCAGUGCUUCACAAGCUCCAUUUUUAUGUGCUCCCCCACAAAAGUCAAAACCAGUAUGUUUCAAUAAUUUGACAUGGGCCACUUGGGUUGUAUAAUUAGAGCUGCCAUCCCUUUCUUUAUCUCAGCGGCGAUAACAUCUACUAUCUGUUUUGAGAGCAACCUGCCUCGAGCCAACCCAACAUCAAUAACAUUCAGUUCCAAUAUACCACUUGUUGACCCUCCACCUCUAUCAUACAACAUCAUUUGUUCAUUUGAUGCCACGAUCUCAAUAAUGUUUUGUGCUUCUAAUGCGGUCUUGUAAUUCAAAGAACCCCUGUUGUAGCAUCCAACAUAAUUCUCGUGUUAGGCCUCAAACCAUUACAGAAUAUCUGCAUCUGAGCAAUGUCAUCAUAAGCAUGAUUGGGGAAUCCUGCUAGUAAACUAUUGAACCUCCUUUAAGUGUCAAGAAGAGAUUCUUCUUCUUUCUAUUUGUAACUAGAAAUCUCUUGCCUCUUUCUAAUGAACACAGUUGGGGGAAAGUAUUGUUCCAAGAAUUUAUCUUCAAGGUCAUCCCAUGUGGUGAUGCUAUCGGCAUGAAAUGAAUUAAGCCACUCCUUAGCAUCAUCUUUCAAUGACAAUGGAAAUAAUUUCAACCACUUGCCUUCUUCAGAACAACCAUCCACCUUCACUAUUUCACAUAGCUCAAAGAAGUUUGUGAGAUGUCUAUUGGCGUCUUUGUUAUGUUUACCGGCAAAACGAAUCUCCUUCAACUCUCGUAAUAGAGCGGGGCUCACUUCAAACUUGUUGACUGUAAUCGGUUGGUUACAGAUGGCCAGCCGAGCACGGCUUAUAUUUCGAUUCCCAUACUCACCGAGGGUACGUUCUAGUGGUGGUGGAUCGGUCAUUUCCAUAAAUAUGACAAAAUCACCCAAAACCUCUUCUUCCACUCCUAACUAACUAUCUUUCCCUUUGUCUCCUUUCUCGAGCCGCCUUUCGAUUUGCUUUUGCAGUUUUUUCGAUUUCUGGAUCAAAGAUAAGUUCCGCUGAGGACUGGCCUCGCAUUCAAGGUUAGACAAAUUGUGAGUAAUGAAGAGUUUUAAAAGAAAUAAAAAUAAUAAUUAAAAUAAAAACAAAAAUUUUAUUGUAGAGCAACAAAUUUCAAUUAAGUAAAUAGAUUAAAUUCAAUAGUGAUAUGGCAAUCCACGGCAACGGCGCCAAAAACUUGAUAGCGUUUCAGCAAGUGUACUGAAUCGUUGCAAGUAAUAAUAAAACGGUAGUACCGAGUGUUGAACUCAAGGAUUGUGUUUUACUAUCGAAUUAAAAUUAAUUACUAAAAUUGAACAAAAAGUUCCCAAGCUGAUUGAAAUGAUAUUUAAAAUUAAUAACAGUAUUGAUGUCUAAUUUGAUCCUAGUUAUUGAAUUCCUUUAUUGAAUUAUUACCGAAUUCUCUUUAUUAUUCUUGCCCUAAUGUCUUAGUGACAGAACCUUUAAUUCCAAAGUAACCCCUAUUUCCUUAGUGGAUUUAAGAUUAUAAUUAAGCAUUACUGUACAUGAAUUCUCUUGUUAAACUAUUGUCUCUGCAACUAAUUUAACUGGUUUCAUGACCUGCAUAUAUCCCAAGACUACGAAUUUAUGAAUUUCUCAUCUCAAGCACUCGUAUAGUCCACUCCCGUUUCAAAAUAUGAAUCGUAGAACAUUUUAAUGUUGAUUAAGCAAUAAAAAGCAUUAAGCACAGAAAUAAGAAAAAUAAUUCAAUAAGCUCAUUCAUAUAAAUAGAAAUCAAAUUAGAAAAAUAAGGGUUUCAUCUUGUUACACUCAUCCCUAACAAAUAGGGUUUAGUUACUCAUGAUAGAGAUAGAAAAGAUAGAAAUUAGAGAAGAAUUACAAGAAAGAUCCAUAAAUGAUUCUUGAUAAAACUGCUUCAAUGGUGUUAGAAAAAGUUGUCUUUGAGUUUCUAUGCUAGGGCACAAGUCUUCAUACUUCCCAAUAGACAAAAAGAUGCCUAGAAAGUGAAACAUUGCGUUUUUAAUGAAUGUUCUCGCGUCCACACGCCUCAUGCGCAGAAAACGCGCUUCAGGCGCACGCUGGCAGUACAACAUCUAUUGUCUAACUUAUACUACAUUUUUCUCCUCUUUCGAGUAUUAAUGUGGUUCUGGUUUCUUUAUGAAAGUUGUAACUAUGGACAUUAGCUUUCGUUUGCACGUAGUUUGGAAUCCAAUUGCACAUAGUUUGCACCGUUUUCAAAUAGAUUUUUAUACAAUUAAAAUAUUUAUAAGCUUGUUAUAAAAUGCAGACAGAGUUUAGAGGAAAUUAUUCGAACAUAAUAUAUUAUUUUACACUUUUAAGUAUAACAUAUGUUCUUACAUAUAUACUCUCCUUCUAAAGUAAAACUAAUAUAUUUGUAUGACAUUUUAAAUUUCUAAACCCGCAAACCCUGCCCUGACAUAAAUAUAUAUAUAUANNNNNNNNNNNNNNNNNNNNNNNNNNNNNNNNNNNNNNNNNNNNNNNNNNNNNNNNNNNNNNNNAUUUUUUAGAUGUUGAAUUAUUUAAAACUAAAUUACAAUUUUAAGUAUUCAAAAAAUUUAUCAUCAAAAGGUUUCUUUAUGAGUUUCCUAAAUUUAUAAUAUAGCUUUUGUGCUUCUGAAAUUAAAAAUAAUAUAGCAGUAACUACAAAAUAUGAUAAAUAAAAGAAAUGUAAAAAUCUUAACACACUUUGCAUACGGAUCUUUCAGUUGUCUUGGAUAUUUGUAAGGUUUAUGGAGUAAUUGUUUAGAAAGCAUUGCUAUACGUUGAGGUUUGUUUGAAACCUCUAUAUAUUUUAAUAAUUUGUACAUUGAUAAUAUAUAUUUAAAUUUAGAGUUUUAUAGAGAUAAUAAUAUUGGUUUUUUUUAUCAUAAACACAUAAACAUCGAUCACCCAUGUUAUUUGUUCUUAUGAUUGAGUUUUGAAAGGACACGGUGAUACAUGAGAACCAACAUACUUAUAUAUAAACAAACAUAAAAUAAAAUAUAUAAAAAAAUCCACAUAUGACAGGAGAUAUAAUACAAAUACAUAAUGAAAUAAAAUAAGAAAAUUGUGCGAUACACAAACACCCAUGCAGUAGUAAAAUCAUCCCUUCAAGUCAGACGGGUCUUAUUUUGAAGAUUUAAGAAACAAACUUUAGCAUGACAAGAUCUAGCUCCCUUUUAAUGAUUUUCCAGUGUAUGGUAAUUUAUCAGGAUAUAGCAUUAAAGGUCAGUGUGCAUGUCCUAUAUGUGAAGAGAGUACAAAUUGGAUGCGGUUGAAACAUUGUAAGAAGAAUGUGUUUCUUGGACAUUGUAGAUUUUUACCUUAUAGUCAUCAGUAUCGUGGGUGGAGAAAUGCAUUCAAUGGAAAAUCAGAGGAAGGUAAAGCUCCUUUAGCACCGACUGGAUAUCAAAUACUUGAAAAAGUACAAGGUUUGACCAAUAAAUUUGGCAAACCUUUUGCGGGAGAGCUGGUCAAAACUGGGUGGAAGAAAAAGUCAAUUUUCUUUGAAUUGCCAUAUUGGAAGUCAUUGUAUAUAAGACAUUUCCUCGAUGUGAUGCAUAUUGAAAAAAAUGUAUUUGAUAGUGUUAUUGGUACGUUACUCAAUGUUCCAGAAAAGUCUAAAGAUGGCGUCAACGCAAGAUUGGACUUGGUCGAUAUGGGAAUAAGAAAUGAACUGGCUCCAGUAAAGAAAGGAAAUCGCACGUAUCUACCUCCAGCCGCUCAUACUCUAUCUAGAAAGGAAAAAAUUAUUUUAUGAAAAUUUCUACACGAAGUUAAAGUUCCAGAAGGAUACUCUUCGAACAUUAAAAAUUUGGUUUGUAUGAAAGACCUCAAGUUAAAAGGUUUGAAGACCCAUGAUUGUCAUAUUAUAAUGGAGCAUUUGCUACCAAUAGGUAUACGUUCCAUUUUACCUGAAAAAGUUCGACUAGCCUUAACUAGAUUAUGUUUCUUCUUCAGGGAAAUUUGUAGUAAAGUGAUCGACCCUCAGAAAUUACCGACAUUGCAGAGGGAAAUUGUUGUUACUUUGUGUGAGCUUGAAAUGUAUUUCCCACCAUCGUUUUUUGAUAUAAUGGUUCACCUUACUGUUCAUCUGGUUAAGGAGACACAACUUUGUGGGCCAGCUUAUAUGAGAUGGAUGUAUCCGAUAGAACGAUAUAUGAAAAUAUUAAAAGGGUACGUAAAAAGUAGAAGUCGACCAGAAGGUUGUAUUGCUGAACGAUACAUUGUUGAAGAGGCUGCUGAAUUUUGUACUGAAUAUCUGUCCAAUGUUGAAUCCAUAGGGCUUCCCAUGUCUCGUCAUUCGGGAAGACUAUCAGGAGAAGGGAUAACUGGAAGGAGACUACUGACUAUAUCAAGGACAGAAUGGGAGCAGGCACAAUUGUAUGUUCUGCACAAUGAUGAUGAGGUUCAACCGUAUGUUACAAUACACAUUGAUCAGUUAUCUCGUUUGAACAUGAAUAGGAAUCAAAAUUGGAUAACUCGAGAGCACAAUCGAAGUUUUGUAACAUGGUUAAAAAAUCACAUAAUGUCAAAAUUUGAUAUAGACCCCGGAUCAAUUUCAAAUAGAUUGAGGUGGCUAGCAAAUGGUCCGAGCUUACAUGUCUUUUCUUACACUGGUUAUGUUAUUAACGGCUACACAUUUUAUACCAAAGAACAAGAUGAUCAGACCACUAUGCAAAAUAGUGGAGUCACUCUCGUAGCUGAAGCGAUGCAUGUCUCAAGUGCAAAAGACAAAAACCCAAUAUAUGCAAAUCUAUCAUAUUUUGGGGUUAUCGAGCGCAUAUGGGAGUUAGACUACACAAUGUUUCGUGUUCCCAUAUUUGGUUGCAAGUGGGUCGAUAAUAAUAAUGGCGUUCGGAUUGAUGAGUCAGGAUUCUUGCUUGUCGAUUUUAAUAGGGUGGGAUACAAAGACGAGCCUUUUAUUUUAGCGUCGCAAGCUCAACAAGUGUUUUAUGUCACUGAUCCUUCUAAUGAUAAAUGGUCUGUUGUCCUAUCGACCAAUAAAAUAAGUGAUGAUAACAAUAAUGAUGAAGAUGUUGGUAAUGAUCUUUUAUUUGCAACAUCACAACAACCACAUGAAAUUGAUUCAACUGAUGAUGGUUUAUAUCUUAGAGAUGAUCAUGAUGAGGGAAUUUGGAUUAAUCCAUCGUUUCGUAUUGUAAAUGGACAAACAAAUGUGAAUGUCACCAGGAAAAGAAGAAGGGCAUCUUAAUGUAUAUAUAUGUUUAAUUGUUUUAUAUAAGCUAUGCAUGUAAUCUGAACUGUGUUAUUGUAAAUAUGCAUGUAAUCUGAAUUGAGUGUUUUAUACUAAGUUCUGAUUAAUUUAUUUUCUGAUUAAUUUAUUUUCUGCUUAUAUUUAGCUUGAUUUGAGUGUUUUAUACCAAGUUCAUGUAACAAUGAGUGUUUUAUAUUUAGCUUGAUUUACAUGAACUGAACUGAAUAUAAAUUAGUAAUUUACAUGAACUGAACUGAACUGAAUAGAGAGAUUCUCUUUUGCUCAGUGCAUAUAUAUAUAUAGAUUCUUCAGAAUACUCAUUUCUAAUAAUUCAUCAUCUCCUAAAGUAUUGUGAUAAAGACAAUGAUAACAAUAUUUUUAAUCCAAUAAACAAUGAUAAAAAUGUUUUUAAUGUCAUCCCAACCCAAAUAAACCAAACACAAAAAUAAAAUAAAGAGACAUUUUACAGCGCUUAUCUUAAAAAGCGCUGUAAAAGAUCCUUUUAAAAAUAAAAUAAUGAGUGUUUUAUACCUUUUACAGCGCUUUUCACACAAAGCGCUGUAAACGACUCUUUUGAAAGUGAGUAAAAAAGACAUUUUACAGCGCUUAUUUGACAAAGCGCUGUAAAAAAGCUUUAAAAAUAAUAUUCAUCAGACACCUAAUUUCUUCAAACACCUUGUACGCAUCAUGGGAAUCCAAAAAACAUCAGACACAAACCCAUUUCUUCAAACACCUUGUACGCAUCAUGGGAAUCCAAAAAACAUCAGACACAAACCCAUUUCUUCAAACACCUUGUACGCAUCAUGGGAAUCCCCAAAAACACCAGACACAAACCCAUUUUUCGCAACAUGGCAAUGAUCCUGAAUACCAAUUAAGUUUCGAUUUAAGAAGGAAAGAGAAUGUAAAGAGAUAAAAAGGGUGUUGAGGUGGAGAUUGAAUUGUGAAAGAGUAAGCUUUGAUGUUUGUGAAGAAGAUGCAUAAAAGGAGAAGAGUUUGGUGAAGAGGAAGGGAUUUUUGUGGUGACCAGUUACUACUAUGUGGGUUUUGCAUGCAUGUUGAGCUUGUUUAAAAAAUAACAUAACAUAACAAAACACAAAAACAAUAAGGCCUUUUACAGCGCUUAUUUGGAAAAAGCGCUGUAAAAGAGCCUUUUAAAAUUAACAUAAAGAGACAUUUUAGAGCGCUUAUGUGGAAAAGCGCUGUAAAAGGCUUUAAAAAACAUUCAUAUAACAUAAUAACACACGGAGGUCUUUUACAGCGCUUAUUUGGGAAAAGCGCUGUAAAAGAGCCUCUUAAAAUUAACAUAAAGAGACAUUUUAGAGCGCUUAUGUGUAAAAGCGCUGUAAAAGGCAUUCAAAUAACAUAAUAACACACGGAGGUCUUUUACAGCGCUUAUUUGAAAAAAGCGCUGUAAAAGAGCCUUUUAAAAAUUUAACUAAAGAAGCCUUUUAGAGCGCUUAUGUGUGAAAGCGCUGUAAAAGGCAUUCAUAUAACAUAAUAACACACGGAGGUCUUUUACAGCGCUUAUUUGAAAAAAGCGCUGUAAAAGAGCCUUUUAAAAAUUUAACUAAAGAAGCCUUUUAGAGCGCUUAUGUGUGAAAGCGCUGUAAAAGGCAUUCAUAUAACAUAAUAACACACGGAGGUCUUUUACAGCGCUUAUUUGAAAAAAGCGCUGUAAAAGGCAUUCAAAUAACAUAAUAACACACGGAGGUCUUUUACAGCGCUUAUUUGAAAAAAGCGCUGUAAAAGGCAUUCAAAUAACAUAAUAACACACGGAGGUCUUUUACAGCGCUUAUUUGAAAAAAGCGCUGUAAAAGAGCCUUUUAAAAAUUUAACUAAAGAAGCCUUUUAGAGCGCUUUACAAAAUAAGCGCUGUAAAAGGCUUAUAAAAAGCGCUGUAAAAGUGUUACGUAUAUAUAACAGUUACCUCUUCAGUUUCCUCUUCAUUACGUAACCUUCAUCUCAACCUUCAUUUCUUCUCUUCUUUUGCAAACCCUAUCAUCCCGUCCUUUACGAACCUUAUUUCCACGAUCAUCUCCUUCAUUUCGAACCUUAUUUCCAUCCAAGAUCAUCUCUCCCAUUUCACACAAUAUAUUUUCAUUGAAAUACGUAACCCUCAUUACGUAUUUCUUCAAACCGUAUUUCUGUGAACCAUAUUUCUGUGAACUUUCUGCAAACCCUCUUUUCUUUGCAUUUCGUCUUUCUUCGAACCAUCAUUAUUCAGGUAUUGAUGUUAUUAAAUUUUUGUAAUCAUUAGAAUGCAUGUUGAGCUUUUUUAAGAUAUACUGAUACAUGUUGAGUUUGUUUAUAAUAAUGCAUGAUCCAUGUUGAGCUUGUUGAUGUUAUACUAAAGUGCAUGUUGAACUUGUUGUAGUUAAAUGGAUACAAACAAAGAUUUAGAAGUUCAAAAUGAAGAAGUUGGCACCUCUAAGACUUACGAAAAAGAAGUCAAACGUGGUGCAACUAUCAUGCAAAGGGUGAUUAAAGCACGGAGCAGUGGCAUUAAAUUUGAGGUAUACUAUAUAUACUCUGUUUGCUGUGUGUUUUUUUAUCUUUUUUUAGGGUUUAGGGCAUGUACUUACUAUAUGAGUUUAUUAGGUUGGCUGGAACGAGAGUGGUCAGCCAGUUGACCCCAACAGCUCCAUGUUUGUAAGCUACAUUGGGGCUGUUGUUCGUCAAAAUGUCCCAAUAACAAUAGACAACUGGAGAGAUAAGGCGUUGAAGGAUGCCAAAGAUAUCAUCUGGAAUGACAUUCAAGUAAAUAUUUUGAUCUACUCUUUUGUCAUUUAUAAUUUUUUUUCUGUAAAAUACAUUACUUAUAAUUGUUUUCAUUGCAGACCACUUUUGUUCUUGAUGAGGAACGAAAGUCAUAUGUUUUGAGAGUUGCUGGGAAAAUCCAUCGUGGAUUUAGAUCCCAUCUCUCAAAUUUCUAUCUAAAAGAUAGAGAAGGAAACACAAAUGCUGAACCUCCAAAGAUAUAUCAACAUUAUAUAUCAAAGGAUGAAUGGAGUGCAUUUGUUUCCAAACGUUCUGACCCGGCGUUUGUCGUAAGUGAUUAAUUUAUUAGCAUUUGUGUUUUAUUAUUCAUAUUCGUAGCGUAUUUUAAAUUUUUACACAAUUGCUAUUUUUUUUUUAUAUAGAAUAUUAGUAAGGCAAAUCGCGAACGGGCAAGCAACCCAAAACACCCAUACAAGAAAUCACGUAUGGGAUAUGCACGCCUUGAACAAAAAAUUGUAAGUAAUUAAACAUCACUUGUAAUUUGUAUUAUAAACUAUAGUGUGUAACUAAUUUGUAUUAUUUUGUUUAUGAUUUUAACGAAUAGAGAAAAGACACCCAAGCCGAUCAACCCUUGGGUCGUCAUAUCUUAUGGAAGGAAGCGCGUGUUAACAAAGAAGGAGUGGUUGAUAAUGAAAAUGUCAAGAAAGUUGUAGAACUUUGUGUAAGUAUAUUAUCACUUUAAUAUUUUUUAAUAUUGUAUUUUAAAAAUGCUAUUGAACUUAUCUUUUUAAUGUUACAUGUAUUUUAGGAAACUAUUGAACAAAGUUCUGAAACUCAAGAGGGCAACAAGGAUACGUGCAGGGACAUUCUUGGGAAAGUGUUUAAUGUCCCUGAGUAUUCCGGUCGAGUGAGGGGGAAAGGAUUUGGCGUAACUCCCAAAAGCUUUUUUCCUCAAGAGAAGCGCCAAAAACCUUCCAACGAGGAAGUAUUAGAGAAGCUCAGAAUCUUAUCGGAGCAAGUGGCACUCUUGGUGAAUACGAAUAAAGACAAGCAACUUCCGGUUCAGCUCCAACCUGAAAUACAAAUGGAGAGUGAAACCGGGAGUUGCAACGUCGGUUUGAAGAGUAUUCCCGAGGUAAUUAAUUACUUACUACUUACUUGCUUAUGUAAUUACUUAUGUAUUAAACAAACUUAUAUAUUAACUGUACUUAUGUUUUAACUAUUGAUGUAGGGUGUCACUACAUGUGUCCUAUACUUGUCCUCGCCGACUCAACGGAAGGUGGGAAAAGGAAUAUUGCACAAUACUUCGGGAGAAGUAUUGCACAAUAUUCCGAUCCCCGCGGGCCAUGUCAAAGUAUCGCCUACGGUUGCUUUCGAACCAACUGCACCGUUGCCCAUACCGGACAACGAUGGAGAUAUGAAGUUCUUAAGCGACGCUAUUGGCAGUUACGUGGCAUGGCCCACACACCUUGUUGCCCUCGAAAAAAAGAUUCCCAAGGACAAAUCAGUUACAUCUCCCGAAAAGGUUUGUCACAUUUAUUGCCUAAGGUUUUUUAUUUUUUCAGAUUCAAUAAACUAACAUUUUACCUCAUUUUUGUAGGUCCAAAUAAAUAAACCACCCCUACAGCCAAAAAAAGGCAGCAGACCUCAAAAAUUGGAGGUUAAUAGGGCUGCCAAACUACAAAGGCUGGAGGGUAAUAAAGCUGCAAAACUUGCAGCAACAAAAAAUCUGGAUCGGGGAAAAUCGGUCGCUGCUGCUGCUGCUCCUAAUAAAAGUCAGCCACGCCUUGGUAAAUACGGGGCGUGUCUUGACAUCCAAAUAAAAAGGAACAUGGGCAGCAGCAACGAUUCGCCCAUUGUACAAAUGAAUCAAGACAUCUUUGGAGAUGAGUAUAUUGAAUACCUCGAAAAGGAGCAAAUGUACGAUCUUCUCGAACAUAAGGAGCUGAGUGUUACUGUAAUCAGCUUGUACAUAAGGUAAAAAAUACUUUUAAUUGCAUUUAUUUGUAAUUAAUUAAAUGUAUUGGUAAUUAAUCUAGUUUAAAAUUUUCAUUGAAGGUUUUUGUACGAGAAGGUCGUGUGCACGAGGAAACUGUCAAAUAAAUACUCAUUCUUGUCUCCGCAUAAGAUGUCGAUGUUCAAACUCGAUCCAGACAAUGUAAAACACUACAUUGUAGAUAUGUUUUUAAGAAAUAAAGAAAGUGAUAAAUUGUUCUUGGCACCAUAUAAUUCAGGGUACGUAAUUUUAUCUUUUUUAAUUGAUGAGAAUUUAACUUAAUCUUAAAAUUUUUGUUUGUGAUUUCGCAAGUUAAAUUUUAUUUCUUAGAUUAUGUUAUUGCUCAAGUCGACAAGCCUUCCUAAUGCAUGCAUUUUUUAUUACUAAAUGGUUCCAGAAGGCUAAUAUGCCAUCAAUUUUUCAAAAAUACAAUUUUAACUUUUCAGAAGCAUGUUGGCUUUAUUUUGAUUGUUCAUACUCUCUCUUAUUAUCCUAGCUGUGAGCUUUUGAGCCUAAACACUUAAAUUCUUUGUUGUGUGAUUAUCCAGACAUGUGUUAUCCCUCUAGAACUUGCACUAAUUCUGACUUGCAUCACUUGUAAUUUAUGCAUACAUUGAGGCAAUUUUAUUGGUCGUUUGAGCCUUUCUAACUACCCUAUGAAAAUUUUACCCUUUGCUAGCCCCUUUCAGCCUUGCCCUUUUAUUUCGGCUACUAGCCACAUUACAAGAAAAACACCUUACUUUAAUUAAAUCACCUUACUUGGAGUUAGGUAGAAAAAAUUCUUGUCUGGAUAAAAUUCUAAGUUUGGGGUUGCUCAUGGGAUAGCAACUUUCUAAGUUUGGGGUGGUGAUUGUCAGAAAAGGAAAAUAAAAAAAAUAAAUAAAAAGAAGAAAAAUAAAAUGAAAGGAGAAAGAAGAAAAAAAAACAAAAUAUAUCUUCUUGGUUCUUCUGUCAAUGUCUGAGAAUCUCCAUAAUGAAAAGGUGAAGAAAAAAACAAUGGUAGAAUAAUCUGGAUAUGUAUGCCUAACUCCAAGUGGUAAAGCCUACUAUCCAAAAAUGUCCUACCCUUACCUAAGCCCCAUUACAACCCGAAAGUCCUCUAAAAAUGUAUGCGUUUACUGCACUGUGAUUGCAAAAUUCAGACGCAAAAGAUGAGAAAAAUGAAAAAUACAUCAGACAUCAGAUGUUGUGCGCCUAGAGCGCGCCCUGCGCGCCUGGAGCGCAUUUCUCGUGUUUCAGUUCUGUCAACGUGCGCCUGGAGCGCAUUUCUCGUGUUCCAGUUCUGUCAACGUGCGCCUGGAGCGCGUGACGCGCAUCAGCAAUCAUAAAAACACAAAUUUUUACUGUUUAUGGAUCUUUUUGACUCUUGGGAACUUGGGAGACUUGUGCCCUAGCAUAGAAACUCAAAGACGGCCGUUUCUAACGCCAUUGGAGCAGUUUUAUCAAGAAUCAUUCAUGAAUCCUUCUUGUAAUUCUUCUCUGAUCUCUAUCUCUUUUAUCUCUGUCAUGAGUAACUAAACCCUAUUUGUUAGGGAUGAGUGUAACAAGAUGAAACCCUUAUUUUUAUGAUUUGAUUUCUAGUUAUAUGAAUGAGUUUAUUGAAUUAUUUUUCUCAUCUCUGUGCUUAAUGCUUUUUAUUGCUUGAUCAACAUUAAAAUGUUCUACGAUUUGUAUUUUGAAACGGAAGUGGACUUUACGAAUGCUUGAGAUGAGAAAUUCAUGAAUUUGUAGUCUAGACAUAGAUGCAGGUCAUGAAACCAAUUAAAUUAGUUGCAAAGCAAUAAUUUACAAGAGAAUUUCUAUACGAUAAUGCUUAAUUCUAAUCUUAAAUCUACUAAGGAAUUAGGGGUUACUUUGGAAUUAAAGGUUCUGUCACUAAGACAUUAGGGCAAGAAUAAUAAAGAGAAUUCGGUAAUAAUUCAAUAAAGGAAUUCAGUAACUAGGAUCAAAUUAGACACCAAGGUUGGAUUCGAAGUGAAACUCAUCCCUGACAUUUUUCUCAAUUUAUAAAGGAUCAAUUUUACUACUGCUGUCAAUUUUAAAUAUUACUUCAAUCAACUUGGGAACCUUUUGUUCAAUAUUAGUAACUAAAUAUAAUUCAAUAGUAAAACGCAAUCCUUGAGUUCGACACUCGAUACUACCGUUUUAUUAUUACUUGCAACGAUUCAGUACACUUGCUGAAACACUAUCAGUUAUUGAUGGACUUUGUAUUGUAAGUGGAAAUGAUUCAGAGCCUUUUUAAAAUUAAAAAACCUGCAAUAUUUAGCAGUUGCAUUCAGCUACAUGCAGUGUGUAGUCGAAUACACAUAUGUAACGUUCAGUUUUUAUGUAAAAUUUCCACGUCGUAUUCGAAUAAGAACAUGUUGUUUUUGCCACUGACUUGACUUGUAUUCGGCUACGAAAAUGUUGUAUUCGAAUACGACAAUAUAGUUUGUCAAAAACUUCAUUUUUCAACAUUGUUUAUGCAUUUUUGACAUAUGAAAACCCUUUCGAGGAGUAUGAUGAGAUGAAAGUUUCUCUUGAGCAUUUGAUAAUAUAAAAAUUAUGCCAAGUGUUAUUUGUUAAUUUCGGUUGGAGACCCUUUACAUUAUUGUGGAUCGGGAUUACGCCUCAGGUUAUUAGAGUUUGGAGUCAUGCUGGAAUUGCAACGACGUCGAAGACGUGGCAUAGCGAUAGUUUUGAUUUGUAAUCGAAAGCAGUGAGGCUUGAUGCCGCUUGUGGAUCCUCAGUAUCCAGUCACCAUCAAUUAGAUUAAUGAUCAGCUUAGGGUUUUAUUUAUNNNNNNNNNNNNNNNNNNNNNNNNNNNNNNNNNNNNNNNNNNNNNNNNNNNNNNNNNNNNNNNNNNNNNNNNNNNNNNNNNNNNNNNNNNNNNNNNNNNNNNNNNNNNNNNNNNNNNNNNNNNNNNNNNNNNNNNNNNNNNNNNNNNNNNNNNNNNNNNNNNNNNNNNNNNNNNNNNNNNNNNNNNNNNNNNNNNNNNNNNNNNNNNNNNNNNNNNNNNNNNNNNNNNNNNNNNNNNNNNNNNNNNNNNNNNNNNNNNNNNNNNNNNNNNNNNNNNNNNNNNNNNNNNNNNNNNNNNNNNNNNNNNNNNNNNNNNNNNNNNNNNNNNNNNNNNNNNNNNNNNNNNNNNNNNNNNNNNNNNNNNNNNNNNNNNNNNNNNNNNNNNNNNNNNNNNNNNNNNNNNNNNNNNNNNNNNNNNNNNNNNNNNNNNNNNNNNNNNNUAGUUUGCACCGUUUUCAAAUAGAUUUUUUUACAAUUAAAAUAUUUAUAAGCUUGUUAUAAAACGCAGACAGAGUUUAGAGGAAAUUAUUCGAACAUAAUAUAUUAUUUUACACUUUUAAGUAUAACAUAUGUUCUUACAUAUAUACUCUCUUUCUAAAGUUAAACUAAUAUAUUUCUAUGACAUUUUAAAUUUCUGAACCCGCAAACCCUGCCCUAACAUAAAAAAAAAAAAAAAUAUAUAUAUAUAUAUAUAUAUAUAUAUAUAUAUUAUUUCUCUUUAUAAUUGAAGUAUAAUUAUAAUUUAGUUGUUGAAUUUGAUUUGUUAAUUUCAUUGGUUUAUGCACUUCUUUUAAUAAAAAUAUUUAUAGCGAGCAUAUUGUUUUUUAGUUUUGUUUUGUAUAUGGUUGUAUUUUAUGUAUUGAAAUGAUACGAUGUGAUAAAGUUUUUUGAUUUUUUAGAUGUUGAAUUAUUUAAAACUAAAUUACAAUUUUAAGUAUUCAAAAAAUUUAUCAUCAAAAGGUUUCUUAAUUUAUGAGUUUCCUAAAUUUAUAAUAUAGCUUUUAUGCUUCUGAAAUUAAAAAUAAUAUAGCAGUAACUACAAAAUAUGAUAAAUAAAAGAAAUGUAAAAAUCUUAACACACUUUGCAUACGGAUCUUUCAGUUGUCUUGGAUAUUUGUAAGGUUUAUGGAGUAAUUGUUUAGAAAGCAUUGCUAUACGUUGAGGUUUGUUUGAAACCUCUAUAUAUUUUAAUAAUUUGUACAUUGAUAAUAUAUAUUUAAAUUUAGAGUUUUAUAGAAAUAAUAAUAUUGGUUUUUUUUUUUUAUCAUAAACACAUAAACAUCGAUCACCCAUGUUAUUUGUUCUUAUGAUUGAGUUUUGAAAGGACACGGUGAUACAUGAGAACCAACAUACUUAUAUAUAAACAAACAUAAAAUAAAAUAUAUAAAAAAAAUCCACAUAUGACAGGAGAUAUCAUACAAAUACAUAAUGAAAUAAAAUAAGAAAAUUGUGCGAUACACAAACACCCAUGCAAUAGUAAAAUCAUCCAUUCAAGCCAGACGGGUCUUAUUUAGAAGAUAUAAGAAACAAACUUUAUCAUGACAAGAUCUAGCUAUUAUUUAUUAAUGACCCGUAGAAUGCGUUUUAAAUAACUACUAGGUAGCUAGAUAGCUAGAUAGUAAUUAAUUAUCCUGAUUUAGUGAGGAGUUCUUGUGCCUUUAUCUCAAAGGAGAAAGGUUUUCCGUUGGGUGGAGGGGUUGCAGAGUCAUUAGCAUUCCAAAUAAAAAUGCCACGAAGUGAUUCAGCAUCGAGGAGAUCGAUAACACCCUCAAGGAAGUCUUCUCGUGAAAUUUUACCUGCGUCAUCUGGAUCAGUACUAGCUCCUGCCAGAAGUUUUUUAGAACCGUAGACGUCUGAUAGACUAAGAAAGAUAUUUUUAAACUCAUCCUUUGAUUUGAGAGUCUCAAAGUAGAACUGAUAGUCCACCCAAUCAAUAUAAUCAUGGCGAGCCAAAAAUAGUGUAUGGUACUUGGAAUUGACUGGUUUAGAUGGAGCAAUGGAAACCACAUCGACAGAUAGAUCAGUAUCCUCCUUGAGUCUCUUUAUAACAUCCCCCACACCAGAAGAGAAAUCUCCACCAUCGGAUGUGAUGUACUCAUAGUUGAUAUCAAUGCCAUCUAUUAUGUUAAAGCUCCAAGGAUCCUUGACUUCGUUGUAUUGCUGCAUGAUCUUUUUGAGUGAGUUUACAGCAUUGUAAGGCCAUUCUACUUUUGAAGCAGGAUUGAAUGGAUGUUUAUCACCACGACCACCGAUGCUUAUUACAACCUUCACAUUUUUAUGAGUUUACAGCAUUGUAAGGCCAUUCUACUUCUGAUUUUGCUUGAGUUCCUUCACUUUUUCAGGACUGAAGAAAUGAACGUUCCAAUUUGGGUUGAAAACUCCUGUGCCUUUUCCACUAUCAUCGUAAGUCUCUGUGGCAAAGCCUUAAAUGAAGUGGAAUUGGUGGAUCUUGGAGUUGAUGAUAUCAGUUGGGAAAUUAUGUAAAGUGUCUGGAUAUGGCUUCACGCCAAUGUAUUCUCGAAAAAUGAUUGGCUUCACAUCACUGUCUUUGAUUUGACGAGAAUCAGACAUUGUGAUAAAAAUUUGAAUUUGGAUUGAUCUCUUUUGUUGGUUUAGAUAUUUGUGGUAUUGUUGGGUGAAAUAAGCAUCUCUUGAUGCCCUUUUAUAAGUCGGUAGUACCGAGUAUCGAACUCAAGAAUUGCGUUUUACUAUCAAAUUAAAAUUAAUUACUAAAAUUGAACAAAAAGUUUCCAAGUUGAUUGAAAUAAUAUUUAAAAUUAAUAACAGUAAUAAAAUUGAUCAUUUAUAAUAAGCAAAAUGUGAGGGAUGAGUUUCACUUCGAAUCCAUCCUUGGUGUCUAAUUUGAUCCUAGUUAUUGAAUUCCUUUAUUGAAUUAUUAUCGAAUUCUCUUUAUUAUACUGGCCCUAAUGUCUUAGUGACAAAACCUUUAACUCCAAAGUAACCCCUAAUUCCUUAGUGGAUUUAAGAUUAGAAUUAAGUAUUACCGUACAUGAAUUUUCAUGUUAAACUAUUGUCUCUGCAACUAAUUUAAUUGGUUUCAUGACCUGAAUCUAUCCGUAGACUACGAAUUCAUGAAUUUCUUAUCUCAAGCAUUCGUAAAGUCCACUUCCGUUUCAAAAUACAAAUCAUUGAACAUUUGAAUGUUGAUCAAGCAAUAAAAAGCAUUAAGCACAAACAUGAGAAAAAUAAUUCAAUAAACUCAUUCAUCUAAAUAGAAAUCAAAUUUGAAAAAUAAGGGUUUCAUCUUGUUACACUCAUCCCUAACAAAUAGGGUUUAGUUACUCAUGACAGAGAUAGAAAAGAUAGAGAUUAGAGAAGAAUUACAAGAAAGGUCAUGAAUGAUUCUUGAUAAAACUGCUCCAAUGGUGUUAGAAACAACCGUCUUUGAGUUUUUAUGCUAAGGCACAAGUCUCUCAACUUCCCAAUAGUCAAAAAGAUGCCUAAACAGUGAAAGUUUGCGUUUUUAAUUAAUGUUGUCGCGUCCAUGCGCCCCAGGCGCACGCUGGCAGUGCUGAAAGGCAAGAGAUGCGCCUCAGGCGCGACUGUUGCGCUUCAGGCGCACAUCAUCUGCUAUAUGACCUAUACUGCAUUCGGACAUUUACAACUCUAGAUAUGGCUGAAAUCCUUCACAUAGGUCACGUUGAUUUCUCACCAAAAUUCAGCACUGCACUAAAACAAAACGCAAUUUAAAAUUACAAAAAAAUCCCUACUUAAUCAAUGAAAUGAAAACACAAACAUUUUAUUACCUUAAAGAACAAAAAUAAACAAAAUAUAUCAAAUAACUCCUUAAUUUAACCAAUAAUUAAAGAUAAAUAAGACUAAAACAAUGAAAAAUAUGCAUAUGAUGAAGAUUUAUCACAUCCCAAACUUAAUCUAUUGAUUGUCCCCAAGCAACAAUUAAUUUCUCAAACUCAAACUUGGUACAGUUAAACUCAAACUUAAACUCAAUUUCUUAAAUCAAAUCAAACUCAAUUAUCAAAGUUCCAGCUGCUUCAAAACAUUUAUCAUGCUCCAUGGUUGCUUACGAAAAAAAAAAAAACACAAUUUGUAUACUUUAGCAUUCAUUCAUCAAGUUCAACUCUCUCUUCACACAAUCUCACCAAAAUUUCUCUCAAGUGUUUAACAAGGGUUAUGAAUUUAUCACUCAAAUUUUAGAACAUGCAUCACGCUACCAUAGGCUUUAAAAAAUUAUAGUUAGCAACCACAAUGCAGCAAACACAUACACUUUUGGAGAACUUUCGGGUUGCAAUGGGACUUAGGUAAGAGUACGACAUUUUGAAAUAGUAGGCUUUACUACUUGGAUUUAGGCAUACAUUUUCAAAUUAUUCUACCAUGUUUUAUUUUUGUUCACCUUUUCAUUGUGGAGAUUCUCAAACAUUGACAAAAGAACCAAGAAGAUAUUAUUUAUCAAAGUACACAAAAUAUUUUUUUUUUUGUGAGAAUCACCACCCCAAACUUAAAAGGUUGCUAUCCCAUGAGCAACCCCAAACUUAGCACUUUAUCAAGACAAGAAUUUUUUUUUUUUACCUAACUUCACAUAAGGUGAUUUAAUUAAAGUUAGGUCUUUGGCUUAUAAUGUGGCUAGUGACCGAAAUAAAAGGGAAAGGCUCAAAUGGGCUAGCAAAGGGUAAAAGUUGUAUAGGGUAAUUAGAAAGGCACAAACAACCAAACAAAAUUGCCCCAGUAUAUGCAUAAAUUACAAGUGAUGCAAGUCAGAAGUAGUGUAAGUUCUGAACGGAUAACACAUGUCUGGAUAAUCACACAACAAAUGAUUAAAGUGUUUAGGCCCAAAAGCUCACAAUUAGGAUAAUAAGAGAGAGUGUGAACAAUUAAAAUAAUGUCAAACAUGCCACUGAAAAGUUAAAAUUGUAUUUUUGAAAAAUUGAUGGCAUAUUAGCCUUCUACAAUCACUUAGUAAUAAAAAAUGUAGCAUUAGGAAGACUUGUCGACUUGAGCAAUAACAUAAUCUAAGAAAUAGAAUUUAACUUUCGAAAUCCCAAAUAGAGAACUUAAGAUCAAAUGCAAGUUAUUACAACUUCUUCAUCAUAGUACACAUUUAGUGAAAGGAAAAAAUAAGGAAAAUAAUAAUAAUAAAAUAAAAUAAAAUUCGACAAUUGAAAUAAGAAAAAGAAAAAAAAACAAAGAAAGAAAAAAAAAAAGGAAAGAAAACUUCUCUCAGUUUAGUAAUUCAAGGGGACUUGUUUAGGUCCUCCACUCCUAUACCACUAUGGUCGCCUGUAUAUUGGUGAUGUGAAAAUAAAUCAGCAUAAAACAUGCCUCCUAGUGUCUGUUGAGAAGAAGCGAAGGCUCGAUACAGAUUGGUCAUCCCCAGUUCUAUUCUGGUUUGUCCAUCUCGCCGAUCGAUCAUCAAUUGUUCCAUCAUAGUUUCCAGUCUGCCACAUAUUUCCUCGGUGGAGAGCUCUGAUGGAUGUGGAGGGUGGUGAUGUGGUUCCUGUGGUUCAGUAUUUUCCUCUGCCGUCAUCGCUGCUUGUGGGGCACCAGGAUAGUCUGCCAGAAUCAUAAAGUGCUUUUCUAUCCACUUAGCAGUGAUUGGAGUAGCAGGUUUCACCAUUUCUUCACCCUGUUUAGGUGAUACUCUCACCUGCUCACAUAGUUUACUUAUCAGGGAAGCGUGAUGGAAGUAGCCUGUCAGAGGAUCAAGAAUUGUUGUCCCCCAAAGAUCAUGAGCUAGUAACAUGCCCAUAUUAAUUAUGUCGCCUUUUAUGAUAGAAGUUAGUAGACAUGCUCUCUGAAAUGUUAUAUCUGACACAUUCGAACAUGGUAGUAGCGUAUGAUGAACAAAGGUACUCCAUGCUUUUGCAAUUGGGGUGAGAUCCAAUGAGCGCAGUUUCCUAACUAAGCCAUCUCUAUUUCGUAUCCAAUAUGUGCCAGGUCUGCAUAAAAUGCGCAGGAUCUUCUGAGUGUCUACUUUUAUAAUGUGGUCUUCCAUAGCUUGAAAACGGCAAUCCUUAUAGUUCGGUAGACCAAAAAAUUCAUUGAUGACUUGAGGCGUGAAGGGCAUCCUUUUUCCCCUCACAUAACUCACAAAUUGAUCAUGUGGAAAUGGUUUGUCAGACUUCAGAUCAGAGGUAUUGGAGAAGAAUUUCACUGCUAAUGAUUUUCUCGCUGUGGUGACGAAUGUGGUCAACUUCUCCCAUCCUCUAGCAGCAAUCAUCGCCUGGAUGUCAACAAAUUCACCUGGCUUCCAACUUAAAAUUUUUAUCACUCACAAACUUCUUGACUGCAGGGAGUUUGGCAUGAAACUCUUGUGUUUCCAUGGUCUUGAAUAAGAAUGUAUUGUGUGGUUGGGAGGAAGAUGUAUUUGCGAUCUUAUUUCAUUUUGUUUUUUGUUGGAUUGCCAUUAGGUCCUGCAAAACAAUUAUUCACAUCCAGAGUUCAAAAUAUUACAGGUUAGAGGUAAUUAGUUUAAGCAUGUGUCCCCUUGGAAAAAUAACUACAUCAAUUUCCCUGAGUUUAUCCAACAAAAUUCUGAAUGAUAACAAUGCAUAUAGAUUGGUUGUGUCAUUUUCUCAAACAGUUGGAGUGUAGUACAGAUUUUGUGGUAACUAGGAUUCAAAAGUGGUUGUGUCAUUUUAACAAACAGGUGGAAUGCAAGCAUGAAAUACAUGAACAAUCCACAGUCAUAAGUGACGAUUUCUAACAUUAACACACAUUCGAUCUCAGACAACCAACAUGCAUGUAUGAAUUUUUUUUAAUACUAGCACAAAUUCAAAUUUAAAGAACCCACAUGCAUCAAUGAACAAGGAGGAGUUGAUAGUAACAAUUGGAGAAAACUUACUUGAGGAUGGAAGAAUGUUUGAUAGGAGAGGAAAACUGAACUUUGUUGAUAAUGGAGGAAGGCUUGGAGAGGUAAUAAAGAUGUGUGUAUCAGUUAACUCUUGUGGGAGGGGAGAGUUAUGUGAGAAAACAAGGGUUUUAAACCCAGCAAUGUGCUUCAAGCGCAAGGGACGCGCUUUAGGCGUGCGCUGACAGUAACAAAACACAGGAAAUGCGCUUCAAGUGCAAGGGACGCGCCUCAAGCGCGUGCAAGCAGUGAUAAUUUCAGCUAAAUGCACUUCAAGCACAGACGACGUGCCUCAGGCGCGUUGGCAAUAUCAAACUUCUGAGAAAUGCACUUCAAGCGUUGAGGCCGCGCUUCAGACAUGCGCUAACAGUAGCAAAAUCUGAGAUGCGCUUCAAGCGCUGAGGCCACACUUCAGGCGCGCGCUAACAACAGCAAAAUCUGAGAAAUGCGCUUCAAGCAUUGAGGCUGCGCUUCAAGCGCAAAUGAUGCCAAUCCGAAUAGUAAAAUCAAUUCCCAACACAUCUUUUUGAUUCUUUGCUCAUACCAAACAUCAAGAACUAAUACAACUAGCAGUUAAAAACUAAAAUUGAAACCAAAUAGAGUAAAAUGAAACUGAAAUGGAAAAAAUACCGUGUGAAGGAUACGAAUUUGGGUUGCCUCCCAAUAAGCGCUCGUUUAGUGUCUUGAGCUUGACAUUCCACUCUUCAAGUGGUGAUCAGAUUGAUGGACUCCAUCAAGAGUUUUGACUCUACCCCUAAAUAAGAUUUGAGCCUUUGUCCAUUCACCUUGAAGCUCCGAUUUGAGUGUGUAUCUUUCAACUCCACAACACCGUAUGGAAAUACUUUGAUUGUCUUAAAAGGGCCCGACCAUCUUGACUUUAGUUUUCCUGGAAACAACUUCAAUCUUGAGUUGAAUAAAAAAACUAGUUCUCCUUCUUGGAAUUUCUUGAAUUUAAUUUUUUGGUCAUGCCAGUUCUUGGUUUUUUCUUUAUAUAUCUUGGUGUUCUCAUAUGCAAAAUUUCGGAACUCCUCUAACUCGUGAAGCUAAAGAAUUCUUGACUCACAUGCCUUGACCAAGUCAAAAUCCAAGUACUUCGUCGCCCAAAAUGCUCGAUGCUCCAGUUUGAGAGGCAAAUGCCAGGCUUUACCGUACACGAUUUGAUACGACGACAUACUAAAGGAGGUCUUAAAAGUUGUUCAGUAGGCCCAAAGUGCACCAUCAAGUUUCGUUGACCAAUCUUUUUGUGAGGCAUUCACUAUCUUUUCAAGGAUUCGCUUAAGCUGUCUGUUGGAUACUUCAACUUGCCCACUAGUUUGUGGGUGAUAUGGGGUUGCCACCCUAUGACGUACAUUAUAUUUCCUUAGAAGGUAUUCUAUUUUCCGGUUCAGAAAGUGAGUGCCCUCGUCAUUAAUCAAAGCUCAAGGCACGCCAAAACGCGCGAAUAUGUUCUUCUUGAGAAAUGUGAUGACAUGUUUUGAAUCAUUGGUUGGAGUAGCAACUACUUCAACCCAUUUUGAGACAUAAUCCACCGCCACCAAAAUAUAAAUUUUUUUAUAUGAGGAUGGGAAUGGACCCAUGAAGUCAAUACCCCACACAUUGAACACUUGUACUUAUAAUACAGGAUUUUGCGGCAUCUCAUCCCAUUUUGAAAUGUUACCGAUGUGAUGGCAUCGAUCGCAUUUCUUCACAUAGUUGAAUGAAGGGUUCAUCCCAUACAUAGAAUUUGGCAUCAUGGAUAAACUUCUUUCGUUGUUGGUAAGUGAAAUCAGAUGGAAUUGCCUCACCUACCUUAAAAUUAGCAAAGUCGGCGAACCAAGGUGCCUUGGCAAUAGCGAAGAUGUGCUCAUCAACAAAUUGGUCUCGAAUCAGUCUAAUGUCCUUAUUCUCAUCAACUUUCUCCAAUCGAGAUAGGUGGUCAUCUACAGUGUUCUCUGAUCCCUUCUUAUCUCGGAUCUCAAUGUUGAAUUCUUGUAGUAAUAGAAUCCAUCUAAGUAUCCUUGGUUUCGAUUCUUGCGUAGUAAACAAAUACCUCAAGGUAGCAUGAUCAGUGUAAACAAUAACUUUCGAUUCUAAUAAAUAAGAUCGAAACUUAUCAAAAGCAUAAACUACAGCUAAUAAUUCUUUUUCAGUUGUGGCAUAAUUGUGUUGUGCCAGAUUUAAAACAUGACUAGCGUAGUAGAUUACAUGCAACAUCUUGUCUUUUCUUUGUCCCAAGACUGCCCCAAUAGCAUUGUCACUUGCAUCAAACAUGAUUUCAAAAGGUAGUGAUCAGUCAGGUGCAGUGAUAAUGGGAGCAGUUAUCAACUUAUUUUUCAAAUUGUUAAAAGCAUGCAAACAAUCCUCAUUGAAUUUGAAAGGUGUGUCUUUCACAAGUAGGUUUGUAAGCGGUUUUGCAAUUUUAGGAAAAUCUUUUAUAAAUCUCCUAUAAAAUCCAGCAUGGCCUAAAUAGGUUCUAAUGCCUUUUUCAUUGGUAGGAGGGGGAAGUUUUUCAAUAACUUCAACUUUGGCCUUGUAUACCUCGAUCCCCUUGUGGGAGAUUCGGUGGCCUAACACAAUUCCCUAUCUUACCAUAAAAUGAUAUCUUUUCUAGUUUAGGACCAAGUUGGAUUUUUCACACCUUUCUAAUACAAGAGAUAGAUUAAUCAAACAAUUAUCGAAAUAUGAACCAAAGACAGAAAAGUCAUUCGUAAAUACUUCGAUAUGUUUCUCAAUCAUAUCAUAGAAUAUGGACAUCAUGCACCUUUGAAACGUGGCAGGUGCAUUACACACCCCAAACGGCAUUCGUCGAUAAGAAAACACCUCAAAUAGACAUGUAAAUGUAGUUUUUUCUUGAGCCUCGGGUGCCACAGCUAUCUGAUUGUAUAUCGAAUAGCCAUCUAGGAAGCAGUAAUACUCAUGUCUGGCUAGCCGCUCAAGCAUCUGAUCAAUGAAAUGGAGCGGAAAAUGAUCCUUCCUCGUAGUACUGUUCAAUCUUUUAUAGUCAAUACAAACUCUCCAGCUUGUAACCGUUCGUGUAGGAAUUAGCUCGUUCUUUUCAUUUGUGAUGAUGGUCGUUACACCCUUUUUUGGUACAACUUGGACGGGACUCACCCAAGAUCUAUCUAAAAUGGGGUAAAUGAGACUGACUUCUAAGAGCUUUACCAUUUCUUUCCUAAUCACUUCUUUCAUUGGUGGAUUCAAUCGUUUUUGGGGUUGUACAACCGAUUUGUGAUUGUCCUCCAUUAGGAUUUUGUGCAUACAAAAAGUUAAACUUAUUCCUUUCAAGUCCUCAAUGGACCAACCGAUGGCCCCCUUAUGCUUCCGCAGAAUUCUCAACAACUUUUCUUCUUGUAACUCACUCAAGCUUGCACUAACUAUGGUUGAAUUCUUAUCUUUUUCACCCAGGAAUACAUAUUUCAAAUGAGGAGGUAACUGCUUGAGUUCAAUCAGUGGUGUAUUUUUCUCUGAGCUCUUUCUAAUGGAAAACUGGGUAUUUGAUGCUCCAUUUCUUCGUUGACUAUCGCAUCUAAGAUCUCGAUUCGAUUGCACCCUUCUCUUUCUUUUGAAUGUUCCAUGGCUUUUAGAAUGUUAAAAGUGACGGUUUCUUCAUUUACUUUUAAGGUUAAGGUGCCAUCUGCUACAUCAAUCAUAGCUCGCCCUGUUACUAAGAACGGUCUCCCCAAAAUCAAAGGAAUGUAAUUGUCCUCAUCCAUAUCUAGUACCACGAAAUCCACUGGAAAAAUGAACUUACCCACUUUAACCAACACAUCUUCCACCACUCCAUAUGGAUGUUUCAUUGAGCGAUCCACAAACUGUAACAUCAGUUGUGUGUCUUUGACUUUUCCAAUGCCCAACUUUUUGUAUAUGGAAAGGGGCAUAAGACUUACACUAACCCCAAGAUCACACAAAACCUUCUCAAAAGUUUUAUUUCCAAGAGCGCACGGGAUUGAUAAGCUUCCAGGAUCCUUGAGCUUCGGUGGCAGCUUCCUCUAUAGUAUAGCACUACUCUCUUCGGUAAGCAUCACUAUUUCAGCGCCGAUUUUUCUUUUCUGCAAUUUUUUAAAAACAUCAAGAAAUUUGCCGAAUUGUUUUUCCAUUUCUUCCUUUUUUAAUCUUUGAGGAAACAGAAGUCGAUUUUCUGGUGUUGGCAGUGUCUCCUUUUUUCUACGCCACAUGUUCUUCUUCCUUUUCAAGAGCGAUGUGCUCCUCAACUGAUGUCGGGGUUACCAUUUCCUCCGAGUGGGUCGAAGUUGAAGUACUUCCACUUUGUUUGGCUUUAGGUGGUACUUGUUCACUUACCUUACCAUUCCUCGUUGUCACGACAUUGACAUUAUUUCGCGGAUUUGGAACUAUGUCACUAGGCAUAUUUCUAGGCGCUCUUUAUGCCAUUUGUUGAGCAAGUUGAUCCAAUUGGGUCUCCAGAUUAUUUAUUGAUGCAGAGUGGUUUUUCUGGAUGGCUCUUGACUCUUCAAUGAAAGAACUUGUGUUUGCUACUAACUUCUCAAUAGCACUCUCCCAAGCAGGUUUUCGAGGUGGAGCCUGAUUUGCUUGAGCUCCUUGAUGACCUUGAGAUCCACCCUGUUGAUCUUUCCACGAAAAAUUUGGGUGAUUUCUCCAUCCAGAGUUGUACAUACUAGAGUAGGGAUUACUUUGCUUCCCGUUAUUACCCACAAAAUUCACCUCUUCUAGUUCUUUUAUAUCAUUUUCAUCCAGUGAUUCACAAGCUCCAUUUUUAUGUGCUCCCCCACAAAAGUCAAAACCAGUAUGUUUCAAUAAUUUGACAGAGGUCACUUGGGUUGUAUAAUUAGAGCUACCAUCCCUUUCUUUAUCUCAGCGGCGAUAACAUCUUCUAUCUGUUUUGAGAGCAACCUGCCUCGAGCCAACCCAACAUCAAUAACAUUCAGUUCCAAUAUACCACUUGUUGACCUUCCACCUCUAUCAUACAACAUCGUUUGUUCAUUUGAUGCCAUGAUCUCAAUAAUUUUUCGUGCUUCUGAUGCGGUCUUGUAAUUCAAAGAACCCCUGCUGUAGCAUCCAACAUAAUUCUCGUGUUAGGCCUCAAACCGUUACAGAAUAUCUGCAUAUGAGCAAUGUCGUCAUAAGCAUGAUUGGGGAAUCCUGCUAGUAAACUCUUGAACCUCCUUUAAGUGUCAAGAAGAGGUUCUUCUUCUUUCUAUUUGUAACUAGAAAUCUCUUGCCUCUUUCUAACGAACACAGCUGGGGGAAAGUAUUAUUCCAAGAAUUUAUCUUCAAGGUCAUCCCAUGUGGUGAUGUUAUCGGCAUGAAAUGAAUUAAGCCACUCCUUAGCAUCAUCUUUCAAUGACAAUGGAAAUAAUUUCAACCUCUUGCCUUCUUCAGAACAAAAUCACCCAAAACCUCUUCUUCCACUCCUAACUAACUAUCUUUCCCUUUGUCUCCUUUCUCGAGCCGCCUUUCGAUUUGCUUUUGCAGUUUUUUCGAUUUCUGGAUCAAAGAUAAGUUUCGCUGAGGACUGGCCUCGCAUUCAAGGUUAGACAAAUUGUGAGUAAUGAAGAGUUUUAAAAGAAACAACAAUAAUAAUUAAAAUAAAAACAAAAAUUUUAUUGCAGAGCAAAAAAUUUCAAUUAAGUAAAUAAAUUAAAUUCAAUAGUGAUAUGGCAAUCCACGGCAACGGCGCCAAAAACAUGAUAGCGUUUCAGCAAGUGUACUGAAUCGUUGCAAGUAAUAAUAAAACGGUAGUAGUGAGUGUUGAACUCAAGGAUUGUGUUUUACUAUCGAAUUAAAAUUAAUUACUAAAAUUGAACAAAAAGUUCCCAAGUUGAUUGAAAUAAUAUUUAAAAUUAAUAACAGUAUUGAUGUCUAAUUUGAUCCUAGUUAUUGAAUUCCUUUAUUGAAUUAUUACCGAAUUCUCUUUAUUAUUCUUGCCCUAAUGUCUUAGUGACAGAACCUUUAAUUCCAAUGUAACUCCUAUUUCCUUAGUGGAUUUAAGAUUAUAAUUAAGCAUUACUGUACAUGAAUUCUCUUGUUAAACUAUUGUCUCUGCAACUAAUUUAACUGGUUUCAUGACCUGCAUAUCCCAAGACUACGAAUUUAUGAAUUUCUCAUCUCAAGCACUCGUAAAGUCCACUCCCGUUUCAAAAUAUGAAUCGUAGAACAUUUUAAUGUUGAUCAAGCAAUAAAAAGCAUUAAGCACAGAGAUAAGAAAAGUAAUUCAAUAAACUCAUUCAUAUAAAUAGAAAUCAAAUUAGAAAAAUAAGGGUUUCAUCUUGUUACACUCAUCCCUAACAAAUAGGGUUUAGUUACUCAUGACAGAGAUAGAAAAGAUAGAAAUUAGAGAAGAAUUACAAGAAAGAUCCAUAAAUGAUUCUUGAUAAAACUGCUUCAAUGGUGUUAGAAACAGUUGUCUUUGAGUUUCUAUGCUAGGGCACAAGUCUUCCAACUUCCCAAUAGAAAAAAAAAUGCCUAGAAAGUGAAACAUUGCGUUUUUAAUGAAUAAUCUCGUGUCCACGCGCCCCAUGCGCAGAAAACGCGCUUCAAGCGCACGCUGGCAGUACAACAUCUACUGUCUAACUUAUACUACAUUUUUCUCCUCUUUCGAGUAUUAAUGUGGUUCCGGUUUCUUUAUGAAAGUUGUAGCUAUGGACAUUAGCUUUCGUUUGCACGUAGUUUGGAAUCCAAUUGCACGUAGUUUGCACCGUUUUCAAAUAGAUUUUUUUACAAUUAAAAUAUUUAUAAGCUUGUUAUAAAAUGCACACAGAGUUUAGAGGAAAUUAUUCGAACAUAAUAUAUUAUUUUACACUUUUAAGUAUAACAUAUGUUCUUACAUAUAUACUCUCCUUCUAAAGUAAAACUGAUAUAUUUGUAUGACAUUUUAAAUUUCUAAACCCGCAAACCCUGCUGUGACAUAAAAUAUAUAUAUAUAUAUAUAUAUAGUAUUUCUCUCUAUUGUUGAAGUAUAAUCAUUGGUUUAUGCAUUACUUUUAAUAAAAAUAUUUAUAGCGAGCAUAUUGUUUUUUAGUUUUGUUUUGUAUAUAGUUGUAUUUUAUGUAUUGAAAUGAUGCGAUGUGAUAAAGUUUUUUGAUUUUUUAGAUGUUGAAUUAUUUAAAACUAAAUUACAAUUUUAAGUAUUCAAAAAAUUUAUCAUCAAAAGGUUUCUUUAUGAGUUUCCUAAAUUUAUAAUAUAGCUUUUAUGCUUCUGAAAUUAAAAAUAAUAUAGCAGUAACUACAAAAUAUGAUAAAUAAAAGAAAUUUAAAAAUCUUAACACACUUUGCAUACGGAUCUUUCAGUUGUCUUGGAUAUUCGUAAGGUUUAUGGAGUAAUUGUUUAGAAAGCAUUGCUAUACGUUGAGGUUUGUUUGAAACCUCUAUAUAUUUUAAUAAUUUGUACAUUGAUAAUAUAUGUUUAAAUUUAGAGUUUUAUAGAGAUAAUAAUAUUGGUUUUUUUUAUCAUAAACACAUAAAGAUCGAUCGCCCAUGUUAUUUGUUCUUAUGAUUGAGUUUUGAAAGGACACGGUGAUACAUGAGAACCAACAUACUUAUAUAUAAACAAACAUAAAAUAAAAUAUAUAAAAAAACCCACAUAUGACAGGAGAUAUAAUACAAAUACAUAAUGAAAUAAAAUAAGAAAAUUGUGCGAUACACAAACACCCAUGCAAUAGUAAAAUCAUCCAUUCAAGCCAGACGGGUCUUAUUUAGAAGAUAUAAGAAACAAACUUUAUCAUGACAAGAUCUAGCUAUUAUUUAUUAAUGACCCGUAGAAUGCGUUUUAAAUAACUACUAGGUAGCUAGAUAGCUAGAUAGUAAUUAAUUAUCCUGAUUUAGUGAGGAGUUCUUGUGCCUUUAUCUCAAAGGAGAAAGGUUUUCCGUUGGGUGGAGGGGUUGCAGAGUCAUUAGCAUUCCAAAUAAAAAUGCCACGAAGUGAUUCAGCAUCGAGGAGAU